UGCCAGUUUCCCACAACACACUGAAAGCAAAGGCUGAAAGUAACUAAACAAGGAGAGAGCUAUAACAUACAUAUAGUCAUGUCAUCAGGGCAGAGAAGGUCAUCAAGAGCUUCAAAGUUCACAGAGAAUGAGAUUAAUGAUCUUGUCUCUAGGUUACAAGUUCUGCUUCCACAAGUGAACCAAAGAGGAAACUCAAGGCAAUCAGCGUCGAAGAUUUUGCAGGAAACUUGUUGUCAUAUUAGGAGGCUGCAGGAAGAGGUGGAACAACUCAGUGAGAGGCUAUCAGAGUUGAUGGAUUCUGUGGACAUCAGUGACAUUGACAGAAGCACUUUACAAAACUUUUUGCAACUAUAACAGAUCAUGCAAUACUCUUUCUCCUUUCCCUUCUGUUUCUUCCCCACUAGUAGAUUGUGGUGGAGCCUUUAAUUCCAACCAUGCAAUAAUAUCAUGUCACCCUCUCCUUCAAAUAAUGGGAAACCAUUAUCUUUUCUUUUGAUU